UACGAAGGGGGCUAGCGUUGCUCGGAAUGACUGGGCGUAAAGCGCGCGUAGGUGGUUCAGCAAGUUGAAGGUGAAAUCCCCGGGCUCAACCUGGGAACUGCCUCCAAAACUACUGAGCUAGAGUACGGUAGAGGGUAGUGGAAUUUCCUGUGUAGCGGUGAAAUGCGUAGAUAUAGGAAGGAACACCAGUGGCGAAGGCGACUACCUGGACUGAUACUGACACUGAGGUGCGAAAGCGUGGGGAGCAAACAGG
rnacentral:rRNA from 1 species